AAUUUGGACUUGAUCCGAUGUCUAAUUUUGGUAUUUUUCUGGAUUUUUGAUUUUCAACGUAAAACGUAGCUAAUAAACAAAUAUUCAAAAUGCUACCGUUUCGUAAUCGAAGGUCGGAUCAAAAAAGUGUUUGAGUUUUUCUUUUCGUGUGUGUCUGAAGAUGCCGUGUGCAAAGUUUGGUGUUGAUUGGUCAAGAAAUGUGGGAGGAGUAGCGAAAAAACAGUUGGGAGUUAUAGCCUAAAACGCGUUUUCAGAACAUUGGCCAAAUAGGAGAUAGACAAUGUCGUCGUUUUUUGGCGCCGCCCUGUGGCGAAAUUUUCCAAAGACAAUUUUCCUUUGCCAAAUAACUCCCGCCCACAUUAAUAAUUCUUGGCCAUAUUUUUUAUAUAGACUCGGGUUUGCCCCUUGAUGGUUCCCUUAUAGUUUGAAGAACAUUCCUCGGGCCAAUUAGAAGAUAUACAAUUUCCUCGUUUAUUGCGCCCCCUAAUGGCGAAAAAUUCCGGAAUUUUUAUCGAACGACAUUAAGGUUAGCACCAACAUGUGUGUAAAAUUUGGACUCGUUCCGAAGUCUAAUUUUGGAUUUCUUUGGAUUUUUGAUUUUCCACGUCUAAUUUAGCUCAUAAACCAAUACUCAAAACGCUACCGUUUCGUCGUCGAAGGUCGGAUCAAAAAACUUAAUGCAGGAAUUCUUUUCGUGUAGGUCUGAAGAUGCCGUGUGUAAAGUUUUGUGUCAAUUGGUCGGGAAAUGUGGGAGGAGUAGCGAAAAAACAUUUUUGCGGUUUUCGCGAUUUAGCGAAAAAUAUUCAUAGACGCAAAUGGGCGUGGCCUAGGUCAAAAGAUGCAGCAGACUCCAGUGCAUCUGUGGGUACAAGGUUUUGGACUCUGGAAGGUUCGGUGUGGGAGUUAUA
ensembl:lncRNA